GCAAUUUCUAGCAACUGAAGGCGUAUGUGUCGUUAAAGUCGUAGCUAGAUUUAUUGUAAUUAUACCCAAAGCUUUCUCUCACUCAAACUUUACAACACUAAACUUGUUCAUCCUAAACUAUUAGAGAAAUCUCGAGAAAUCCAUAAGAUAAAUCUUAGAGAAAUCCACAAGAGAAAUCUCACAGAAAAUCAUUGAAGCUCUUAUCUCAAUUUCAGAAAACUUUCUUUCAAUUUAAAACUUUCAUCUUUGAUGCUCUCUAUUUCAGCAAAAUCCAUAAGAGAAAUCUACGAGAAGUCCAUAAGAGAAAUCUCACAGAAAAUCAUUGAAGCUCUCAUCUCAAUUUCAGAAAACUUCUUUUCAAUUUGAAACUUUCAUCUUUGAUACUCUCUAUUUCAGGACCGAGUACCAAUUAUCACUUCUGUCAUUUAAGCCAGUAGUAGCCAGGAUUCAGAGGAGAAGGAACUAGCGUUUCUCCACACUCUCCUCCCCGUGGCUAAGUUGAUCGUUGAAGGCUAUCACUUUUGGUGAGUUCCCAUGUUCCGAGAACAACACUUCUAACCUAUCUAGCUUAUAUUAUAUUUAGACAUUUGAGUUACAUUUUGGUAUUUUGACUUAAUCUUGAGGGUGAUCUAGGGACAUGUCUUAGCCCCCGCCAAGUAUUAAUGUAGAAGAUAUUGUUAGAUGUAGUAAGGGAAGAUAUGUUGACUUUGACUCUUAUUGAG